UACGUAGGGGGCAAGCGUUAUCCGGAUUUAUUGGGUUUAAAGGGUGCGUAGGCGGACGCUUAAGUCAGCGGUAAAAUUGCGGGGCUCAACCUCGUCGAGCCGUUGAAACUGGGUGCCUUGAGUGGGCGAGAAGUACGCGGAAUGCGUGGUGUAGCGGUGAAAUGCAUAGAUAUCACGCAGAACUCCGAUUGCGAAGGCAGCGUACCGGCGCCCUACUGACGCUGAAGCACGAAGGCGUGGGUAUCGAACAGG
rnacentral:rRNA from 1 species